rnacentral:lncRNA from 1 species
UUGUUGUUAAAUACCUAAGAAUAGGGGCUACAUUCAAGGUUAAUGGAAAAAGCUUGAAGCAUUACUGGGGUAUAGAGCGUGAUAGGCAAAGCAUUAGCCUUUGUGAUGUUUGAAUUUUUGUUUUCGUUAAUAAGUAGUUUUUUAUUUCCUAUUGUUAUUUUUAUUUUUAUUCUCUUUAUUUUUAAUACAUUUUUAAUUCUUUUUUUAUUAUGAAUAGGAGAAUAAUAAAAGAAGCAGGAUUUGUUAGUGCGCACUGAGCAAUAGUUUACUGCAGCAUUACAAAGAAACAUUAUGCCGUGACAAAUUGAAUGAUGAGGUGUUAAUAAAAGAG